GUAACCCCCCACCAACCCACACACACAUUAUGCACUAGAAUUAAUUAAAAUCUUAAACAAGUAAGAUAAUGACAUUCUUUCAGAAAAAGAAAAAAAAAAAAAAAAAGUAAGAUAAUGACUGGACUUGUUCACCACCUCGCUCUUGUCUGCUUGGGACAUGUAGCCGACAACGCAGCUUGACCCUUCAACAUUUUUACAUAUUUUUGUUGAAUCAGAACUUCUUGCAUCUUUAUCUUUCACAUGUCUCAGGUAAAUUUUUCGAUAUCCCACUUGGUAUUCAUGGUGUUCGCUUAAUUAUUUUUCUUGUGCUCGCAUUAGUUGUUGUGAAUUCGUAUCAAAACUCAAACCAAUGGUUUGAUGUGUGGAGAAAAAUUAGCACCAAUCAAACCAACGAAAUCAACCAAACACAUACAUACAAUAAAAUAAGAUAAAGUAGAACAAAAAGAAGAACAACACGGUGAUAUUUGUUCACCCGGUUCGACCCAAAUUCGACUUAUGUAUAAAGGAGAUAGAUCUCUUUAAUUCAGUACUAAUGAGUUAACCAGAAAGUUAUAAGAAAUUAGUUUUCAACCGUAAAACACCGGUACCACGGUUGGCUUGGGAGAAGCAUAAAACGAUAGAAUCAUUAGCUAAGAGCAACAACAUAAGUAUAGUGUUGGACACCAAAUCUUCAUCUCAAAGAUAUUGUAAAUAUGAGUCAUCACUAUAUACAUCUGAUAUAGUGAAGAAGGAGGAGGAGGAGGAGGAGGAUAAAAACCUCGACAGAGAUUGCUUUUUUUUAGUUACAGUUUAAAUUUACAUAAAUCAUAACAUGUGAAAAACAUGACAUCUGCACAAUAACAAGAAGGAGUUUCUGAUUCUGAAUCUCUAAUGCAAUCACAUUUUUUGCAAGCUGAGUGACAUCCAUCAUCUCUACAAAUACAUUGAGGAAAAAAAUGACCUUCUUUCACAUAGCACUCACAUUUAUCACAGCAUGCUGAAUGAUAAAUAACAUCAUAAGUAUCUUCACCAUUGGAGAGCACUCGAGUGGUGAAUGGUGUUGAAUCAAAACGAGCAUCAACAAUAGUUGCGGUGAAGCACAAGAGCAAAAGCAACACAGAUAACUUCACAAAUGUAUUCUUGUUCGACUCCAUUACUUUACAAAUACAUUUAUUUUCCUUGUGAAGAGGCAAGUAGCAGUAGCAGUACAUGGUUCUCUAUUUAUAAUGGAAGUAUUGAUAUUUUUUUUUAUAAUAUACACGUCUUUGCCAUUCAAAAUAUAAUAUAAUAUAUACGUCUUUGUACCUAUUAUAGUUUAUAGUUUAUAUAUACAAUAUUCAUAGUAAAAACCUUUCAAAAAUAUAUAUAAUACUUGAAGUAAAAAAAACAAUAAUAUACAUAUCUGUAUGCCAAGCAUCGGUUAUUAAAC
rnacentral:lncRNA from 1 species